rnacentral:rRNA from 1 species
CCGACGGUGAGGGGUGAAGCCCUGGGGCGCAAACGGGAUUAGAUACCCCGGUAGUCCAGGGUGUAAACGCUGCGGGCUUGGUGUUGGGGGUCCUUAGUGGGCGCCCAGUGCCGGAGAGAAGUUGUUAAGCCUGCUGCUUGGGGAGUAUGUCCGCAAGGAUGAAACUUAAAGGAAUUGGCGGGGGAGCACCGCAACGGGAGGAGCGUGCGGUUCAAUUGGAUUCAACGCCGAAAAACUCACCAGGAGCGACGGAUAUAUGAAGGUCAAGCUGAUGACUUUACCUGAUUUUCCGAGAGGUGGUGCAUGGCCGUCGUCAGUUCGUACCGUAAGGCGUUCUCUUAAGUG